rnacentral:rRNA from 1 species
GUGUCAGCAGCCGCGGUAAUACGGGGGGGGCAAGCGUUGUUCGGAAUUACUGGGUGUAAAGGGCUCGUAGGCGGCCAACUAAGUCUGACGUGAAAUCCCCCGGCUUAACUGGGGAACUGCGUUCGAUACUGGUUGGCUUGAGUUCGGGAGAGGGACGUGGAAUUCCAGGUGUAGCGGUGAAAUGCGUAGAUAUCUGGAGGAACACCGGUGGCGAAGGCGGCGUCCUGGACCGACACUGACGCUGAGGAGCGAAAGCCAGGGGAGCAAACGGGAUUAGAUACCCCGGUAGUCC